GGUUAAGCGAAUAAGCGUACACGGUGGAUGCCUAGGCAGUCAGAGGCGAUGAAGGACGUGCUAAUCUGCGAUAAGCGCCGGUAAGGUGAUAUGAACCGUUAUAACCGGCGAUUUCCGAAUGGGGAAACCCAGUGCAAUUCGUUGCACUAUCAUUACCUGAAUACAUAGGGUAAUGAAGCGAACCGGGAGAACUGAAACAUCUAAGUACCCCGAGGAAAAGAAAUCAAACGAGAUUCCCCCAGUAGCGGCGAGCGAACGGGGAGCAGCCCAGGACCUUAAUCAGCAUCAGUGCUAAGAGAACAGUCUGGAAAGGCUGGCCACAGCAGGUGAUAGCCCUGUAUCUGAAAGCACUGGUGUUGUGAGUCCGAUGAGUAAGGCGGGACACGUGUUAUCCUGUCUGAAUACGGGGGGACCAUCCUCCAAGGCUAAAUACUCCUGACUGACCGAUAGUGAACCAGUACCGUGAGGGAAAGGCGAAAAGAACCCCGGCGAGGGGAGUGAAAAAGAACCUGAAACCGUGUACGUACAAGCAGUGGGAGCACCUUUAUGGUGUGACUGCGUACCUUUUGUAUAAUGGGUCAGCGACUUAUAUUCUGUAGCAAGGUUAACCG
rnacentral:rRNA from 1 species